GACGAACGCUGGCGGCGUGCCUAAUACAUGCAAGUCGAACGCUUCUUUUUCCACCGGAGCUUGCUCCACCGGAAAAAGAGGAGUGGCGAACGGGUGAGUAACACGUGGGUAACCUGCCCAUCAGAAGGGGAUAACACUUGGAAACAGGUGCUAAUACCGUAUAACAAUCGAAACCGCAUGGUUUUGAUUUGAAAGGCGCUUUCGGGUGUCGCUGAUGGAUGGACCCGCGGUGCAUUAGCUAGUUGGUGAGGUAACGGCUCACCAAGGCGACGAUGCAUAGCCGACCUGAGAGGGUGAUCGGCCACAUUGGGACUGAGACACGGCCCAAACUCCUACGGGAGGCAGCAGUAGGGAAUCUUCGGCAAUGGACGAAAGUCUGACCGAGCAACGCCGCGUGAGUGAAGAAGGUUUUCGGAUCGUAAAACUCUGUUGUUAGAGAAGAACAAGGAUGAGAGUAACUGUUCAUCCCUUGACGGUAUCUAACCAGAAAGCCACGGCUAACUACGUGCCAGCAGCCGCGGUAAUACGUAGGUGGCAAGCGUUGUCCGGAUUUAUUGGGCGUAAAGCGAGCGCAGGCGGUUUCUUAAGUCUGAUGUGAAAGCCCCCGGCUCAACCGGGGAGGGUCAUUGGAAACUGGGAGACUUGAGUGCAGAAGAGGAGAGUGGGAAUUCCAUGUGUAGCGGUGAAAUGCGUAGAUAUAUGGAGGAACACCAGUGGCGAAGGCGGCUCUCUGGUCUGUAACUGACGCUGAGGCUCGAAAGCGUGGGGAGCAAACAGGAUUAGAUACCCUGGUAGUCCACGCCGUAAACGAUGAGUGCUAAGUGUUGGAGGGUUUCCGCCCUUCAGUGCUGCAGCUAACGCAUUAAGCACUCCGCCUGGGGAGUACGACCGCAAGGUUGAAACUCAAAGGAAUUGACGGGGGCCCGCACAAGCGGUGGAGCAUGUGGUUUAAUUCGAAGCAACGCGAAGAACCUUACCAGGUCUUGACAUCCUUUGACCACUCUAGAGAUAGAGCUUCCCCUUCGGGGGCAAAGUGACAGGUGGUGCAUGGUUGUCGUCAGCUCGUGUCGUGAGAUGUUGGGUUAAGUCCCGCAACGAGCGCAACCCUUAUUGUUAGUUGCCAUCAUUUAGUUGGGCACUCUAGCAAGACUGCCGGUGACAAACCGGAGGAAGGUGGGGAUGACGUCAAAUCAUCAUGCCCCUUAUGACCUGGGCUACACACGUGCUACAAUGGGAAGUACAACGAGUCGCAAAGUCGCGAGGCUAAGCUAAUCUCUUAAAGCUUCUCUCAGUUCGGAUUGUAGGCUGCAACUCGCCUACAUGAAGCCGGAAUCGCUAGUAAUCGCGGAUCAGCACGCCGCGGUGAAUACGUUCCCGGGCCUUGUACACACCGCCCGUCACACCACGAGAGUUUGUAACACCCGAAGUCGGUGAGGUAACCUUUUGGAGCCAGCCGCCUAAGGUGGGAUAGAUGAUUGGGGUG
rnacentral:rRNA from 1 species